GACGAACGCUGGCGGCGUGCUUAACACAUGCAAGUCGAACGGAAAGGCCCUGCUUUUGUGGGGUGCUCGAGUGGCGAACGGGUGAGUAACACGUGAGUAACCUGCCCUAGACUUUGGGAUAACUUCAGGAAACUGGGGCUAAUACCGGAUAGGAGCUCCUGCUGCAUGGUGGGGGUUGGAAAGUUUCGGCGGUUGGGGAUGGACUCGCGGCCUAUCAGCUUGUUGGUGGGGUAGUGGCUUACCAAGGCUUUGACGGGUAGCCGGCCUGAGAGGGUGACCGGCCACAUUGGGACUGAGAUACGGCCCAGACUCCUACGGGAGGCAGCAGUGGGGAAUAUUGCACAAUGGGCGGAAGCCUGAUGCAGCAACGCCGCGUGCGGGAUGACGGCCUUCGGGUUGUAAACCGCUUUCGCCUGUGACGAAGCGUGAGUGACGGUAAUGGGUAAAGAAGCACCGGCUAACUACGUG
rnacentral:rRNA from 1 species